UUGACGGGGGCCCGCACAAGCGGUGGAGCAUGUGGUUUAAUUCGAUGCAACGCGAAGAACCUUACCUGGUCUUGACAUCCACGGAAGUUUUCAGAGAUGAGAAUGUGCCUUCGGGAACCGUGAGACAGGUGCUGCAUGGCUGUCGUCAGCUCGUGUUGUGAAAUGUUGGGUUAAGUCCCGCAACGAGCGCAACCCUUAUCCUUUGUUGCCAGCGGUCCGGCCGGGAACUCAAAGGAGACUGCCAGUGAUAAACUGGAGGAAGGUGGGGAUGACGUCAAGUCAUCAUGGCCCUUACGACCAGGGCUACACACGUGCUACAAUGGCGCAUACAAAGAGAAGCGACCUCGCGAGAGCAAGCGGACCUCAUAAAGUGCGUCGUAGUCCGGAUUGGAGUCUGCAACUCGACUCCAUGAAGUCGGAAUCGCUAGUAAUCGUGGAUCAGAAUGCCACGGUGAAUACGUUCCCGGGCCUUGUACACACCGCCCGUCACACCAUGGGAGUGGGUUGCAAAAGAAGUAGGUAGCUUAACCUUCGGGAGGGCGCUUACCACUUUGUGAUUCAUGACUGGGGUGAAGUCGUAACAAGGUAACCGUAGGGGAACCUGCGGUUGGA
rnacentral:rRNA from 1 species